AAAAAAAAAAAAAAACAUUUAGUGCCCCAUGUUGCUGCUUUCCAUUUUUCUGGGAAGUACUCAAUCUCUUUUAGCUCAACAAGUGAUUUUUAAACCAAUUCCUUCAUAUUUUUUAGUUAAGAUUUCUUACAUUCUACUAGUCUAGCACUGAAGCACUUUUCCAAUAAUUUUUCUGUGUAGCACACUGGCUGUUCUGGAAUUCACUGAGUUACACCAGCCUGGCCUUGAGCUCAUCUAGAUGAGCCUGGGUCUGCCUCCCGCGUGCUGGGUUUAAAGGUGUGCGCCACGGCCAUCCUGCUCUGCAUUGUGUAUGUACCAUGUGUGAGCUUGGUGCCUUCAGGGGCCAGGAGUGGUAAUGCAUACUGUUAAUUCCAACACUUGAGAAGCAGAGGCAGGUGGAUCUUUUGAGUAGGAGGUCUACAGAGUGAGUUCCAGGACUGCCAGGGCUACACAGAGAAACCUUCUUGAGGAAAACAAAAAGAACUAAACCAAAGGAACCCCCCACCCACCGUCCCAAUUCUGAGUUUAUGUAAAGUAUUGUUAUAGCGAAAGUGACAACUGAGCAACUUUAGCCAUUUCACCAUGAAGAUAUACUUUAAAGCAUUAUAUAAGUAAAUAUACAGUAUUACCUGUCAGUGUUAAACAAAAAUAAUGUAGCAGUAUAUACUUUGUUGGGUUUACAACUAUUAGUCUAAUGGAUACCUAAUAUUAUUUAUUGAAUUAUUUAAUGACCUUAAAUUUAGAGAAAAGCUAUUAGUAUUAUAGCUACUAGUAUUAUGACUUAGGUAAGGUGACUAUUAAAUUGAUUUUCCCGUACUUUUUUGGCUAAAUUAAUGUACCUAAAGCAGAGUUCUUUAUUUCUACUGUUUUGUGAUUUUAAAAAUGAAUACUUAGCUGUAUUGUCUAAGCUUUUAUAUUUUAGUGCAUGCACUAUUAGGUUACUUUAUGAUUUGAGUUAGAUUGAAAACUAUGAUUAUUUUAGCUUUCUAGCUUGCUGUUUUAUUGUGAAAAAGUUUGGAUGGUUGAUGUAAUAGCUUUACUUGUUCAUCUUUAACCAUCUUAAGAAUCAGGGAUUUCUGAGACACCACUGAUACUUUUUUCCCCAUGAGAACCAUAGAUACAUCUAUAAAGAUUUUUCAUUUUUAUCAAUAUAAGCUCACAUAAUUGUACAGAAAUGUAUCACCUUUCAUGUAUAUAUUCAUAAUAGUAUGCUGAUAGGGGAGGUCAUGUGCGUACUCUGUAUGCACAUGUAUAUAGGUAUAUGUACAUACAUGCACAUGAAUAUGAAAGACAGAGGAUAACCUUAUCCUCAGGAAUAUCAGGAAUGCUAUAUGCCUUCUUUAAGACUAGACAUCACGGGGGCUGGUGAGAUGGCUCAGUUGGUAAGAGUACCCGACUGCUCUUCCAAAAGUCCAGAGUUCAAAUCCCAGCGACCACAUGGUGGCUCACAACCAUCUGUAACGAGAUCUGACUUCCUCUUCUGGAGUGUCUGAAGACAGCUACAGUGUACUUACAUAUAAUAAAUGAAUAAAUCUUAAAAAAAAAGACUAGACAUCACUAAUUCAUUGACUUGGAGUUUAGCACUUACUCUAGACUGACUGGGAUUUGCCUUAGGGAUCCUUCUGGCUCUCUUAGGUAUCCUCCAGUUUCAAGGAUUCUCCUGUCUGGUCUUUUCUAGCAUUGGUAUUACAAGUGCUUAUCACCAUACCUGGUUGUCUUUAUUUGGGUUCUAGGAAUUGAACAUAGGUCCUUAUGCUGUCAAGGUUAUACUUUACUGGCUGAACUGUAUCCCAGCUACACCUUUUGGAUGGAUGGAUAUAUAUAUAUAUGUGUGUGUGUAUAUAUAUAUAUAUAUAUACAUACACAUAUAUAUGUGUGUGUAUAUGUAUAUAUAUGCAUAUAUGUGCACAUAUAUGCACACAUAUAUACAUACACACAUGUAUGUAUGUGUAUUCGUAUAUAUUACAUUUUUGCAUAUGUAUUAAUUUUAUAUACACUUCUUAUAUUUUUUUUGUCCUUUGGUGGUUAUUGCUGAGUUAUCUGAAGACACAUUAUUUUUCUAUACAUGUCAGAAAUAAGUGUUUAAGGGGCUGGAAUGGUGACUCAGCAGUUAAGAGUACUUCUUGCUCUUUCAGAGGCCUUUAGUUCCGAGGACCCACAUCAUGCAUCAUAACCAUUUGUAACUUCAGUUCCAGAGAAUCCAAUGCCUUCUAGUCUCCUCAGUACCAGGCAUGCAUAUAGAGCAUAUAUGUACCCAGAAGCAGAUGUUCUUAUAAAUAAAUCUUUAAAAGGAUACCUAAAAUUCAAUGUUUGUGUUUUUCCCUCAUCCAUCAGGAUUUCCAGUUUCACCUGUUCUCACUAUUUUAUCCCCUCAUUCAUUUAUUCUUGUGUCCAUUUUUUCUCUUUACUUUUCCGUUUCCUCUUUCUGUUACUUGGUAGCACUGUUUAUUUACUUGCUUGUCUCCCCCUCCUCCUUCUUUUUUGGCUCUUUCGAGACAGGGUUUCUCUGUGUAGCCCUGGCUGUCCUGGAACUCACUCUGAAGAUGAAGCUGGCCUCGAACUCAGAAAUCCGCCUGCCUCUGCCUCCCAAGUGCUGGGAUUAAAGGCGUGAGCCACCACUGCCCGGUUGGGAUUCAUUCUUCUUUGUCUUCAUUACUGAUGCUUACAUAUUAAAUUUUUUAGAUGUGGACAUCUAGAUUUUUUUAUAGCGAUGCUUAAAUAUGUAUCACACAGGACUAGGUAAAUAGCUUAUUUAUAAAAAUGAUUGCCUUUUGAGCACGUAAGUUUAGAUGCUCAGUACUGGGAAGGCAAAGAGUAGUAGAUCCCUGUAGGUCAGUGGGGCACCUACUGUUUACUCUUUGAAUUCCAGGUUCAGGGAGACCCUGUCUUGGAGGUUUGUAAGAUGAUUCAGUGAGUAAAGACUUAGUACCUGAAUUCAUUCCUGGAAGCCACAAGUUGUCGUCUGACAUGCAGACAUACAGACAUACAAGAUAAAUAAAC
rnacentral:lncRNA from 1 species